rnacentral:rRNA from 1 species
UACGAAGGGGGCUAGCGUUGUUCGGAAUUACUGGGCGUAAAGCGCACGUAGGCGGAUUAGUAAGUCAGGGGUGAAAUCCCGGGGCUCAACCUCGGAACUGCCUUUGAUACUGUGAAUCUCGAGUAUGGAAGAGGUGAGUGGAAUUCCUAGUGUAGAGGUGAAAUUCGUAGAUAUUAGGAAGAACACCAGUGGCGAAGGCGGCUCACUGGUCCGGUUCUGACGCUGAGGUGCGAAAGCGUGGGGAGCAAACAGG